rnacentral:RNase_P_RNA from 1 species
CGAGGUGAACAGACGAUCGCGGGGCCCGUGAGGGUCAUGAGGAAAGUCCGAGCACCGCAGGGCAGGGUGCCGGCUAACGGCCGGUGGAGGCGACUCCAAGGAGAGUGCAACAGAGAUAUACCGCCGGGUUCGUCCCGGUAAGGCUGGAAAGGCGAGGUAAGAGCUCACCCACGGCUUGGCGACUUGUCCGUGAUGUAAACCCCACCCGGUGCAAGAUUGAAUGAGGACGCAUAUGGCUGCCCGUCAUGUCCUUGUAAUCGCUUGAGUCUGCGCGGCAACGCCAGGCCUGGAUAGAUGAUCGUCCAAUACAGAACUCGGCUUAUGGUCACGCUCGCACC